rnacentral:misc_RNA from 1 species
AAGUGCAGGAGGGCUAAGAGCUGGCUCUACUUUCCAGGGUGAAACUCGGUCUGGCCUAGGAAUAGCAGAAGUUUCAUCCCAUCGAACCUUCAGGCAUCUCCAUUUUGACUCAGGCCACCUUUUGAGGUCAGCAUUUUCAAUGCCAACUAUAGUUCCAGUAAACCUCUGUUCUGGAGCUUCUUCACCUUCAAACCUCAUUUUAAACCUCAUCCCGAUGGAGUAAUUGUUUUUCAGAGACUCCAUAUACUGAUCAUAUGGAACUAUAAAGUCAGCAGGGCUCGUCCUUGGUUUAUAAUAUACUGUGAACAGUGUUUUCGUCUGAAUAGCAUGCCAAGCUGUAGCAAGGACACCAAGAUGCAUGCUAUGACUG